rnacentral:rRNA from 1 species
AUUGAACGCUGGCGGCAGGCUUAACACAUGCAAGUCGAGCGGAGCGAGGGUGCUUGCACCUUAGCUUAGCGGCGGACGGGUGAGUAAUGCUUAGGAAUCUGCCUAUUAGUGGGGGACAACAUUCCGAAAGGAAUGCUAAUACCGCAUACGCCCUACGGGGGAAAGCAGGGGAUCUUCGGACCUUGCGCUAAUAGAUGAGCCUAAGUCGGAUUAGGUAGUUGGUGAGGUAAAGGCUCACCAAGGCGAUGAUCGGUAACUGGUCUGAGAGGACGACCAGUCACACUGGGACUAAGACACGGCCCAGACUCCUACGGGAGGCAGCAGUGGGGAAUAUUGGACAAUGGGGGGAACCCUGAUCCAGCGAUGCCGCGUGGGUGAAGAAGGCCUUCGGGUUGUAAAGCCCUUUAGGUUGGGAAGAAGGGCAUUUGUUUAAUAGACAAGUGUUUUGACGGUACCGACAGAAUAAGCACCGGCAAACUCUGUGCCAGCCGCCGCAGUAA